rnacentral:rRNA from 1 species
UAGGGAAUAUUGCGCAAUGGACGAAAGUCUGACGCAGCGACACCGUGUGAAGGAUGAAGAUCCUCGGAUCGUAAACUUCUGUCAAUUGGGGACGAAGGUAUUUAGGGUUAAUAGCCUUAAGUAUUGACGGUACCCAAUAAGGAAGUCUCGGCUUACUCCGUGCCAGCAGCCGCGGUAAGACGGGGGAGGCAAGCGUUGUCCGGAAUUAUUGGGCGUAAAGAGCGCGUAGGUGGUUUAUCAAGUCAUUUGUGAAAACUUUAGGCUUAACUUAAAGAUUGCAAGUGAUACUGGUAUACUUGAGCACAGCAGAGGAAAGUGGAAUUCCUGGUGUAGCGGUGAAAUGCGCAGAUAUCAGGAAGAACACCAGUGGCGAAGGCGGCUUUCUGGGCUGUUGCUGACACUGAGGCGCGAAAGCUAGGGGAGCGAACAGG